CUAAAAAAAUAACUUACACGAGGUUAUAGAAAUAUUUCUUUUGUUCCUUUUUAAGCUUUAAAUAGAGCUUUUAGGUCUUUCUUUUUUAGCCAUCUCCCAGCUUGAGUUAAGUCAGGGUUGGUGGUCUUGAAAAAUCCAGCGGAGGCCCCCAGCAGCUACCUAUCCUGAAGCUGGUCCUGAGGUUCGUUCUUUGUGUUUUUUCUCCUUGCUAAUGAACACAGCUGAUCAGGAAGGAAAUGAAAACGGUUCUGGUUUCUCACGCCUGGUCCACGUCUUGCAGGGCUUUUGACACGCUUCAUCUUGGAGGCCAUGAUGCAGUCA